GCAACGGUCAAAGCCGCGUACAUGCCAUGUUGUAGGCAAGACGGGCCCCGACAAGAGAAAUUAUUGAAAUCGCGUGCUCUGGUGCGUGCAACGCACCGCUGUACGCACUGCAUCCCGUUGGCCAUCCAUCUCACGAUGGACGGCCAACAAACCAUGGCCGUACAUUUGCACGGCACCAUAUGCUGUGGUGCACUGCAGGAUCCGCGCCCG
rnacentral:lncRNA from 1 species